GCAUAUCAAUAAGCGGAGGAAAAAGAAACUAACAAGGAUUCCCCUAGUAACUGCGAGUGAAGCGGGAAAAGCUCAAAUUUAAAAUCUGGUAGUCUUUGGCUGCCCGAGUUGUAAUCUAGAGAAGCAUUAUCCGCGCUGGACCGUGUACAAGUCUCCUGGAACGGAGCGUCAUAGAGGGUGAGAAUCCCGUCUUUGACACGGACUACCAGGGCUUUGUGAUGUGCUCUCAAAGAGUCGAGUUGUUUGGGAAUGCAGCUCUAAAUGGGUGGUAAAUUCCAUCUAAAGCUAAAUAUUGGCGAGAGACCGAUAGCGAACAAGUACCGUGAGGGAAAGAUGAAAAGAACUUUGGAAAGAGAGUUAAACAGUACGUGAAAUUGUUGAAAGGGAAACGCUUGAAGUCAGUCGCGUUUGCCGGGGAUCAACCUUGCUUCUUGCUUGGCUUACUUCCUGGUAGACGGGUCAGCAUCAAUUUUGACCGGUGGAUAAAGGCUAGGGGAAUGUGGCAUCUUCGGGUGUGUUAUAGCCCUUGGUCGCAUACAUCGGUUGGGAUUGAGGAACUCAGCACGCCGCAAGGCCGGGUCUUUGACCACGUUCGUGCUUAGGAUGCUGGCAUAAUGGCUUUAAUCGACCCGUCUUGAAACACGGACCAAGGAGUCUAACAUGCCCGCGAGUGUUUGGGUGGAAAACCCGAGCGCGUAAUGAAAGUGAAAGUUGAGAUCCCUGUCGUGGGGAGCAUCGACGCCCGGACCAGACCUUUUGUGACGGUCCCGCGGUAGAGCGUGUAUGUUGGGACCCGAAAGAUGGUGAACUAUGCCUGAAUAGGGUGAAGCCAGAGGAAACUCUGGUGGAGGCUCGUAGCGAUUCUGACGUGCAAAUCGAUCGUCGAAUUUGGGUAUAGGGGGCGAAAGACUAAUCGAACCAUCUAGUAGCUGGGUUCUGCGAG
rnacentral:rRNA from 1 species